UCUGGAGCCCACCCACGACCUCGCCACGUCCGACCUCGCCGCCUCCAGUCCACCCAGCAGCGUUUUUGGAGCUCACCCACCCAGCCACCGAUUGUCCGAUUCAAGUGCAUAUGGAGCCCGAGCCAUCUAUUCAGGGCUCAUGUUUGGGGGCAAUUUUGCUUAUGUUAUGAAGGACGUAAGCUUGUCAUUGAAACAACUUAUCUUAGAGAUUAUGGCAUCAAGGAUGGUGACCAGUGAUCUAUCCUAUAACUUUUUGGAAGGAGCAAUCCCAGAAAGUCUUGGAGAGUUGACAUCAUUACAGAGACUGUAAGAUUGUCUAAAGUUGAAGAAAUGAAACUUAUAAGACAAUGAGAAAUCAGUACUAAAGUUGUGUGGAUGCAGGAACCUAAAUGGGAAUAGG